UCCAUCCUAGUUCAGUUGGUAAAGAAUCUGCCUGAAAUGCAGGAGACCCAGGUUCAAUCCCUGGGUUGGAA
rnacentral:tRNA from 1 species